rnacentral:rRNA from 1 species
UACGUAGGGUCCGAGCGUUGUCCGGAAUUACUGGGCGUAAAGAGCUCGUAGGCGGUCUGUCGCGUCUGCUGUGAAAACUCAGGGCUUAACCCUGAGCUUGCAGUGGGUACGGGCAGACUAGAGUGCGGUAGGGGAGACUGGAAUUCCUGGUGUAGCGGUGAAAUGCGCAGAUAUCAGGAGGAACACCGGUGGCGAAGGCGGGUCUCUGGGCCGUAACUGACGCUGAGGAGCGAAAGCAUGGGGAGCGAACAGG